rnacentral:pre_miRNA from 1 species
CACGUACUCCCUCCGUUCCAAAUUACUCGUCGCAGAAAUGGAUGUAUCUAGAACUAAAAUACAUCUAGAUACAUCCAUAUCUGCGACAAGUAAUUUGGAAUGGAGGGAGUAUGUA